rnacentral:rRNA from 1 species
CUACCAUGCAGUCGACGAUGAACCCCGCUUGCGGGGGGAUUAGUGGCGAACGGGUGAGUAACACGUGAGUAACCUGCCCUUAACUCUGGGAUAAGCCUUGGAAACGGGGUCUAAUACUGGAUAUUGACUUUUCCUCGCAUGGGGAUUGGUUGAAAGAUUUAUUGGUUUUGGAUGGACUCGCGGCCUAUCAGCUUGUUGGUGAGGUAAUGGCUCACCAAGGCGACGACGGGUAGCCGGCCUGAGAGGGUGACCGGCCACACUGGGACUGAGACACGGCCCAGACUCCUACGGGAGGCAGCAGUGGGGAAUAUUGCACAAUGGGCGCAAGCCUGAUGCAGCGACGCCGCGUGAGGGAUGACGGCCUUCGGGUUGUAAACCUCUUUCAGUAGGGAACAAGGCCAGUGUUUAGCUGGUUGAGGGUACUUGCAGAAGAAGCGCCGGCUAACUACGUGCCAGA